UGGUGCACAAACUGCUGCGCCGUCAUUACUAAAACAGCUCACGGGUCUCAGUAAAAACGUUCCUGUUCUCUUCUGUCAACACAACCAAAUGACACAUAAAAUUCCCCCAAGAAAUACAGAGAAAAGACCAGAUGCAUUGCAGCAUCAAUAAUCAGUUGGGUGGUCGGUACUAGCCUGCCUAUCUGAACACAUACUAACUGAUCUAUAGCUAAUAUGGGUUACCAAAAACCAGACAUUCAGUAUGUGCUUUUAAAACGUAGCUGCUGCAUAGAAGCAACUGUAAGAACUUGGCAAAGAGUAUUUUAGUGAGUGUGAAUUAUUUGCAUGGCGGUAAUGUUUGAUCAGUUCCAGAGAACUUAACUGCCUCACCUUAUAAGGUGAGUCCAGGAAAAACAAACCUCAUGCUUUAAUUGAUUGCAAGCAGAUAGAGAAAAGCGGUUGUCGUACUAUCACUCACAUUUCCACAGAUAAAGUUGAAUCAUCAGAUUGUUAUAUGCUGGACGGAUAAUCAAGUGAAGUAAGUAAAAUAAUUUCUUGGCAGUGUUGAAAGGGAUGUCUGAAUAGGAAUGCUCUGUAUGUUAUACAGCAUGUCUGUUUUAUUUCAUAUUGAUUAUUAGCUUACAAAAAUUUUGUCAGUCUGAGUUGAGAUAUGAAAAGAUUUGUUUCUCUGACAUUAAACAUAAUGCAGAUAAUAGGCUUAAUCUACCCAAGAGAGGUUAGUGAUGGCUGAGAGCAAAAUGCUAAAUAAGACAAUCUAUAUUUCCUGUCAGAUGGAUGUUUUCUUUAAAAGUAGUUACAUUAAGGUCAGCAGACCUUUGUCAAUGCAAUGUACACUUGCUUCAACAUGUUUUCAUUGAUACCUUUGUUUUUUCUUGUAGAUUUCUGACCCACACUUGAGAACAAACCUAUAUCAGCACCAAUAUAAACCUUGAAAGAGGAAAACAGACAUUCAACCAGUUUCAUUUUUCCUGUCAGAACACUGUUUCUACAUCCAGAGUUCCUCUGCGCUCAAGCUGUCCAUCUUGUGUCCAUCCACACCCCAGCCAACCAGACAUGGGACUAACGAGUGAAGACAUGGAGUGCUGCGUCUGCCUCCAGUCCUACUCACGCAGGGACAAGACCCCUCGAAUGCUUCACUGCAAGCACACCUUCUGUGGGCAGUGUCUCCAGGCGUUAUCCAGGCUCCAGAGUGGCCUGCUGAUGGUGUGCUGCCCACUGUGUCGCUGGAUCACAUGUACCAGGGCCAGUCUCCCCAUCGCUGGAUCCCUGUGGGUAAACACAGACAUCUGGGACAGGAUAACAGAAAGACAAGAGGAGGAGGAGCAGAAGGAGAAGGAGGAGAACUUGUGGAUGACAGAAAACAAACAGACACAGACCUCUACCCAGUGUGUAUGUCCGUCAUCGAGGAAUCGUAGCCUGUGGUCCAAGCUCAGGACUUUCCUGAGGAAACUGAGGUUCCAGAAUUCAAGAACACGUCAUUAAUCUGUUGUGGACUUUUCUUAGGACCUUUUUCAAGAACAAAUGUAAGACAAAAACGUAGGAAGAUGUUGGCGAAUGAGGCCCAAUGAGCUCAAACACAAAAGCAUGGCUAUGGUAUUUUUUAAGGAAGGCUGAACUCGACAUAUUAACCAUUAAUAUUCAAAAUCAUGCCUUUUUGUUGUGUUGUCAUUAAGGGGUUGAGGAAAGUUUCAAACAAAAUAUAAUCUACUCACGUACUGUAUCUUUCCAUCUAUCUUGAAGAAUAUCUAAAACAUUUCCUCUCUUUUCUGAACUAAUGAUUGCACUUAUCUGUUGGAUAGAUGAAUAGAUGACUGAUUGUCGGGAAGGUGUGUCAUUAAGAGUGUUUGAUGGGUGGUGAAGAAAGGACGAAAUGCAAUGAAAGUAAGCGAUAAGAAGGCUACAAUGUGUGUUCAAAUCUAAACAUGGGAGGUUUAAAUAAUGAGAUACGUACUCUUUAAAUCAACCACACACAUCGAAACGCAAGUCUUAGUUGUUGAUGGGAUUGUGUAAGUAAAAAAAAAGGAUUAGCAAAGUUUUAAAGUACCUCUAUCAUCUAUCUACUGUAACCAUCCAUCUAAAAUAAGUCCUCCAUUUUGUGAAAUAAUACUUGCACUUAUAUUUUAGACAGAUGAACAGAUAAAUAGAUGACGGACAGGCAGGCAGGCAGGCAGAGAGGCAGGCAGACAGGCAGGCAGGCAGGCAGAGAGGCAGGCAGACAGGCAGGCAGACAGACAGGCAGGCAGACGGGCAGGCAGAGAGGCAGGCAGACAGGCAGGCAGAGAGGCAGGCAGACGGGCAGGCGUUUGACGAGUGGAUGAAUGAUACAGUUAGGGUGAAUUUGGGUAAUCUGGGAAACUUUUUGCAAUUUUGACUUCUGCGAUUUAUUCCGAUAUCUGUCUAACACGUUAGAUCAACACAUUAUACCUCUCUGAAAUCCCUAAGAGGUUUUCUGACCACACCAGAGGAAAUAAUGUAGAUAUUAUAGC
ensembl:lncRNA